rnacentral:misc_RNA from 1 species
UUAAGUUCAGCGGGUAAUCCUACCUGAUUUGAGGUCAGAUGUCAUAAAGAAUGUCUAAGAGAAUAGACAAUUAGAAGCCAGAACUUCCGAGCACCAUUCCACAGUGCAGAUAAUUAUCACACUGAAGAUGGCACUUCGUUCCUGCUAAUGCAUUUUAGAGGAGUCGAUUAACAAAGUGUAACCAACAGAAAGCCUCCAAG